UACGUAGGGGGCAAGCGUUGUCCGGAAUUAUUGGGCGUAAAGAGUACGUAGGCGGUUUGUUAAGCGCAAGGUGAAAGGCAUAGGCUCAACCAAUGUGAGCCUUGCGAACUGGCAGACUUGAGUGCAGGAGAGGAAAGCGGAAUUCCUAGUGUAGCGGUGAAAUGCGUAGAUAUUAGGAGGAACACCGGUGGCGAAGGCGGCUUUCUGGACUGAAACUGACGCUGAGGUACGAAAGCGUGGGGAGCAAACAGG
rnacentral:rRNA from 1 species